GCUUGGUAUUGGAUCGAACUGAACAAACCGACAGACCGAAUGGUUACGGUCCAUAUGGGAGUUCGGUCCGGCCCAGGGUGGGAAAAUCCUAGACCGAAGGGAUUCGGUCUGGUCCCAAAAACCCCUUAUGGACCGACCGGACCAGACCAAAUUCACCCCUAUAAAUCAACUAAAAGAGAAG